CAAGAACAAAGCCAAGACUUUCGUUGCAACACAUGCGGCACAGCGUGCGUGCAUGCAUCGUCGCGUGCCCAUAUGCCCCUGCAUGCGUGGCAGAAUCCAGCGCACUACCGGUAGUGUCGAUGCAUAACAGCACUCUCCUCCUGUCCAAACCUCAAUCAAAGAACAGCGCGUCAGAUUGAAGCUGCCCUAAGCUACUGGCACUGCUCUUCGUUAGGUCGACAGAUGAAACGAGGCGAAUAACAAAGCGACACUCCGCCACACUCCGAUCUUCGUAAAUCCCAGAGUAAUCCUCCACCGUUAAUAAUUAUAUAAUGGUUCUUUUACCUGGAAGUCUGAAGGAAAAAUUUGACUAGCGCGAGUCUUUUCUCGGAUUGUCAAACGCAGUCAUCGCUUGGGUGGAGAUUUUCACAAACGCGCAUCACCUUCCGUGGGCGUCAAUCGCGGCUUUCGGAACGUAUUUCACAUGUACCUGGAAAAGCUACGGAGACUGCAGCUCGCCGGUGAUAGAGUUCACAACGUGAUUCUUGCAGUGAACAAGUAGCAUUUUAGCAGGCCGAGUGUUGUGGAUUGGACGUCGGGGCUAGCCUUGCCCAAUUUACCAAUCAAUCGAUCCGAAGAAAUAUUUGUUCAUUUCGACACCCACUCAUUAGGCCGUGGUCCUGCAACUCGCCUGUCAUAACCUGGAGCUGGCUGGGAUUAUAUCUGUCAGCUACAGUACUCUCAUUGUAAAGCAAUAAAUCUAAAGGAUCACCUUCUCCUCAGUACCAAACCUUCUAUCGUCGUUUCGGCGAACGGCCUACAGAAUUUCUCUUCGAAUCGCACGAGUGUUCUAGUGUGCAACUGCUGGAAGGACGCAACUUCAAAGGACCCGCAGGAACGUCGCAAGACACCUUUACACGUUAUUCACACACCACAGGCGGCUGGGCCGCCACUGACUCUACUCUGCAGCUGCAGAGGCAUAAGUGACUGAUAACUCCCACGGGCAGAGAUCAGGGAUGGUAACCAGAAACUAGAUUCUCAAGGUUAAGCUCUCCAUCCAUAGUGUUGUUACAGGUAUUGGAGGUGCUGUACAGACAUCUCCCGGUGCCCUUGCACAUAGUUUAACCCAAACCUGGGCAGCGAUCUGGACUGAGCCGUUUCAGCCACUCGCGGUCACACACACACACACACACACGCACACACUCAGCAGGAGAACGAUGCUUCAGCCGCGGUGGCAUGGCGGGGCGGACCUGGCCAGCGCUGCAGUUCUGGCAUGCUGCAUUGUCACGCUGACAUACUGCAUUCGUCCAGCCGUAGCGCAGGAAGGAAACCUGUUUAUUGUAAGUCGUGACACAUCAUUGGUACACUGUAUGCGGGGUUUUCCCCGGGUAUCACCCACAACGAUGUGCGGUUUACAUCCAAGCAAGAAGGCAGAUAUGCAUGUUCGAUUGGUGAAUUAAAAUAAAAAAUACCACACCAUACCAUACAUCCAAUGUCCUAUCCUGCCCCACCGCUCUUUCCGGUCCUCUCCCGGAGGCAAGUUGUUUCGUUUCAAUUUGAAAUUUUUCCAGAACUGAAUGUAAGUUUGGGGUAUAAGCCACUGGACCUAUGUGGAGUGAAGUGUUGAGAAAUUGUGGUGUGGCUUAUAUAACUCAUUGGCUAUGCAAUACGUUUAGGUUCAGAGUUUAUUCUUGAGCAAAGGGCAAGAGCACUUCAGAUGAGUGUAUUUAUGUAGCUGUGCGUUUCCAGAGGGUUUCAUGUGUGUAUUAUGCUGUCAAGUAACCCUUUUUCCAAUAUGGGUUAAUGUGUGUGUAUGUAUUUGUGCGUAUGUGUGUCUGCGUGCCUGCGUGUGUGCGUGCGUGCGUGCGUGUGUAUUGUUGUGUGUGUUUGUGUGUGUGUGUACAUGUGCAUUUCCUUCCUGGCAAUCGUUGGCACGUUUGCACGACAACUGCCUCUUGUGUCACACACAGCCUGUGUAAGUACGUUGUGCUGUAGUAUUGUAUAACUAUUGCAUAACUAUUGCAUAACUAUUGCAUAACUAUUGCAUAACUAUUGCAUAACUAUUGCAUAACUAUUGCAUAACUAUUGCAUAACUAUUGCAGACCUAUUGCAUAACUAUUGCAUAAUCAAGUAGAGUGCUCGCAGACCACUCAGCCAGCCUGGGUUUUUAGUGAUAGCUUGCAUGCCGUCCUACCUAGGAUCGCGAGUCUUUCCGGUAGGACCCAAUAAAUCGCGCUGCAAAGGUGCUUUUCGUUGAGAAUUUGUUUGCACAAUUGUGGACAUGAGGUCUUUGUAGGGCAAACUAAUGGUGCAAAAUGCAAGACUAUGCCCAGUGCUUUGCAUAUGUGCAAUUUUAUCCAUUGCCAAAAUGGCCGCACAUGUUCCUGUCGGAGCGCUAGCAACUCCGCCCGAAGUGAAUUUUGAACAUGGCACACCGAUCGUUGUGAGGACGUAAUGUCUUUCUUAGCCUUCCAUGGCAGUGGAAUGCAAAAUUCCAUACUCCGUGUCCAUGGCUACCAUGGACUGUUGCCAUGGAAUUUCGUAAUAUGCCCUGUCCGAUCACGUCUAAAAUUUGUGGAGUCCUUCGUUAGUCCCUUAACAAUAGUUCAGGGUCAGGUUUUAGGUGAUUAUUAGAACAGAGGCCCUGCAGCAUGUCUGUGUAUGUGGGUCCUACCGGUAGGUCCUACCGGAAGGGCCGGAGUCUAUGCAAGCAUCCACAGCAAUUCCACCACCCUCUAGAAUCGAGGCGCAACCAAACUGAACAUUAAUAAAUCGUAACACUUUCAUUACAUUCAAAGCCAACUUAGCCAAUGACUUCUGAUACCAGGAAGAGUGAGAUAUGUGAAAGAAGUGCGCCAUCUGAUCAACAUUACCACCAGUGUCGAGGUGAUGCACUUGACCAGGGUCACAGAGAAAUAUUUCCUGAUAUCAACAUAAUACGUGUUUUGACUUUAUUUGUUGACUUUGGUGCGACUAGAGUCCUGUCCCAGUCGAGUCAAAUCCGUGACAUGUGUCCCGAUAGACUUCAGCAUGCAGUAGCCCAGCCGAAUUCCGCCACGAGUUUAAGUGAAUUCCGCCUGGAGUUCAGCCAAAUUCCGCCAUGAGUUCAAGCAUAAUCUGGCAGUAGAGUUCAACCAAAUUCCGGCUUCCUUUAGAGAGUUUGCUCACACAGGGGGACGUGGUCCCGUCCACAGCAAAGAGGGUUCAACGGUGCUGGGGUGCACUGGAGCUAGUGCACAAUGGAAGCAGUCCUCACCAAGAAUACAUAAAUCUGUUGCUACUCCGAGUUUCUUGAGUUAUCAAUCAUCAGGCAACAUAUCUAGCUGAAGCAGGGCUCUCAGGUUCACUAAAGAUAUACACAUUAGCUCACGUUUGCUCAGUGUAUUUGUGCUGUGUUCCUGCGUGAUUCUGUGUUUGUGUGUAGCGUUCAACCAAGCUAU